rnacentral:rRNA from 1 species
CCUACGGGGGGCAGCAGUGAGGAAUAUUGGUCAAUGGACGAGAGUCUGAACCAGCCAAGUAGCGUGAAGGAUGACUGCCCGAUGGGGUGUAAACUUCGUUUAUAGGGGAAUAAAAUGUGCCACGUGGGGGAUUUUGUAUGUACCAUAUGAAUAAGGAGCGGCUAACUCCGUGCAAGCAGCCGCGGUAAUACGGAGGAUCCGAGCGUUAGCCGGAUUUAUUGGGGUUAAAGGGAGCGUAGGGGGAUUGUUAAGUCAGUUGGGAACGUUUGCGGCUCAACCGUAAAAUUGCCGGUGAAACUGGCAGUCUUGCGUACAGUCGAGGUGGGCGUCAUUCGUGGUGUAGCGGUGCAAUGCUUAGAUAUCACG